rnacentral:rRNA from 1 species
AUGGUAAUUGAUUUCCGCAAACUAAAUAAAGCUACUAAAAAGGAUCAUUACCCCUUACCUUUUAUUGAUCAAAUGCUAGAAAGAUUAUCCAAACAUACACACUUUUGCUUUCUAGAUGGUUAUUCUGGCUUCUCUCAAAUACCUGUGUCAACAGAUGAUCAAGCUAAGACCACUUUUACUUGCCCUUUCGGUACUUUUGCUUAUAGACGUAUGCCUUUUGGUUUAUGUAAUGCACCUGCUACCUUUCAAAGAUGUAUGAUGGCUAUAUUCUCCGACUUUUGUGAAAAGAUUUGCGAGGUUUUCAUGGACGACUUCUCCGUCUACGGAUCCUCUUUUGAUGAUUGCUUGAGCAACCUUGAUCAAGUUUUGCAGAGAUGUGAAGACACUAAUCUUGUCUUGAACUGGGAAAAGUGCCACUUUAUGUUUAAUGAAGGCAUUGUCUUGGGGCAUAAAAUUUCUGAAAGAGGUAUUGAAGUUGAUAAAGCUAAAGUUGAUGCUAUUGAAAAGAUGCCAUGUCCCAAGGACAUCAAAGGUAUACGAAGUUUCCUUGGUCAUGUUGGAUUUUAUAGGAGGUUCAUUAAGGACUUCUCAAAAAAAUUCGGCCUCUGA